CAGUACCGACAUCUUUUCGCCUCCUCUUUUCCAACGCACCGCCGAUCAUUUCUGCUUUGCGUUUUCGUGAGAAGACCGAUGGCACAGCGUCAGGCUUUAAGCAUUGCCUUUUGAGCGGCAUGCCGAGGCAGCACAGCCGGGCUGGUCACAUAAUCAUCGUCGACGAAGUGGUCCGCGCAAAUGAAGUCUUUUUUUAGAGGUCUCCAGGCUGUGCGUGAUGGCUGACAGGCAGGUAUCCAAAGUUUACGCACCUUCUCGUCUCUGGGAAACGUGUGCGACGGCAUGUCACGACCGACGAUGCUGUUAUAACAGCAAUGUCUGGGCAUUUCCUUCCGCCACGACGAACGCGUCAGUACCGAGGGACGACCGCGGGAAGGCACAUGUAAGACGCACCACCUGAGCGGAGCGCCGACGGGGAUAAUGUUUCGGACCGAUCACAUGCGAAGAUCGCCGAAAGGGGUUAAACAAACGCUGCAAGGGACCGACACCCCCGGAAACACUGCGACGGCUGUGGCCGACCUUGGCCAAAAAACCACCCACCAACCUUUGUGUCCGUAUCCCUUUAACACUGUCGAGUGAAAUUCCUUGGAUGUACGCAUUUCUAAAUGUAGGAAGUAACAUAAUACUGCUUAAAGAAGUGUCUUACUUUUCUUCCUUUCUUCCUUCCUUCCUUUUUUUCUUUCUUUCUUUCUUUCUUUCUUUAUUAUGUAGCUGUUGACUCUGCAAUUGCAAUAUGAAGACUAGAUUCCUUGAGAGCACAAGAAGUUACACCAACUUUUAAUGCAAACAGUUUAAAAUGCACACUAAGUGCAGCUCAGCUUCGAACGGGAAGUAGGAGGAAAUUGGAGGUGGUGGUCAUGUGGUGUCACAAACCAUUGAAGUGUGUGGAUGUCAGCUAGGAGCAGUGUUUGAAGACGAUACCAUGACUGUGUUUCCAAGUGCAGCACACCUACAAAUUGGCUCUUCCAUUAAAUUUGGUGUUUCUUGCAUUCAACUUGAGUUAGGCUUCAUCCUCUGCUGUUUCUUCUCUGAGAACACAGAGUGUUCCCCUUACCUUCUCUUACCUCGUAUCCUGUCAAUUUCAACUCGGCAUUUGUCAGCAUGGUCAUGGCAUGUGUGCAUGCAUCACCAGUGUGUGGUACUGCGUGAUCGCCACCUCCAGUCUCCAUUGUGUCUCCAAUAUCCUCCUUCAAAUCUGAAGCCACACUGCACGUGUUGUAGGUUUCGAACUGGUUGCAUUAAAAGGUGAUGUAAUUAUUUGUUGGGGAGGAAUUGGAGGCUUCAUAAUUACUUAGUCAAUAGCUACCUAGUAAAACAAAAAAUAAGACGCAUGCAGCAUCAUGGAAAUGUCUACAGGCUCAUGGCAUAGCAUGUGUUAUUCUGCUUUCCUUCACUGAUAAUCUCUUCUCUAUCUCAAUUCGCUAUCAGCUAAUCACAAAUUUUUCUAUUAAAAAAAAUGACAGAUAAGACAAUGAAAUGUCAUGUCCACAGCGUCACGAGAAUGUGUGGUUCAAAUUCAUCGAAUUUUCUCCUAAAGCUUUGAAACAAUGCACCAAAAGAAAUAUAGACACACCAAAAGUAUUAUGGUACCACUUUGAAAUCAUGCUUUAAAUGUGGGCUGUUGUGACAUCAUGGAAGUCAAACAGGAUUUGAGAAAAAACUCCUGUUGAAUGAUAGCAAUGGUCAGGGUAACACCAGAGCUGCCAGCCAAUAUUACAAAGUAUAUCAUGUCUGUAGUGUUCAUUUCUUGUUCUCUACCUUUUUCUUCUUUAUGUUGCAAUGUUUUGAUGAAAAAAUGCUGUUGCCCUAGUCAAUUUUGUUCUAAUUAGAUACUAGUGUAUGUCUUAGUAGCAGAUUGUAUAAUCCAUUGUCUGGGUGAACUUAUAAGCUGCAGCAUCUGCUUGCUUUUAAUGUUCUAAAAUUGUUGAGUUAGUUUUUAAACCAUAGUUUUAUUGCAAGGAACAUGUGUACAAGAAACACAAAAAAGACCCCAAGCUUUCUCCUGUGUUACAAACUCCACUUUCACCUAGACUAACGGUGUUGCUACUGUUAGAUUUUUCAUAGAAUGUUUAAAAGCGCUCCUACAUCAUAAGCAAUGAAAAACUACACUGCCAGCUGAUAUGCAUAUGCAGCAUACACCACAGAGAAAUUACGUAUGCUGCAUAUUGCUAUUUGCAUAUUUAUUUUUGUUAUGUAUGCUGCAUAUUGCUAUUUGCAUAUUUAUUUUUGUUUCUUGAGGAUGUGGGCUGGGAAUAUAGCGGAGGAAACUACUCCAUUAACAGCAUAAUAAGCUGCAUGCAUAAUUUUUAAUUAUCAGGCCAUAAUUUUUAUUCAUGCUCUGAGGUCAGCAGUAUUUCCUAGGCCUUAUGAAUUUUAAAGAUAACUGUUUUCUUGUCGCUAUGCCCAAUGCCUUCAGUGCAGUCUGCCAGUAAAGGUAGACAGGACAAAGUAGAGACUGGUCUAGCACCUUGCUACCGACUGAACAUUUAUUGUUCACGCACAAAAAAAUGUGUGAAAAUUACUAAUGCAAGACAGUUAUUAGUGAAGCUCAAAAAUCUCAACAAGUCAGUGACAACAAGAAGCAAGAAAAGGAGAAAGCCGGGAAAUUUCACAACCAUCUUAAUGCUACCUCGUCACAUCUCAUCCUUAAACAUUUAUUCUUUUGUCUGCACACUCUAGGGUUGAUUGACACACUCUCUAGACCCACUGUGCCAUCUGAAAGGCUUCAGCAAGCUUUCAAGUCCACUUAUUCAAAGAAAGGCAAAAGGCAGACAGGUUGUAGUGGCUGCACGUUUGAUGAAACACACAUGUCAGUAUGCAAAAUUAUAAAUUAGAAUUGAGGUGCGGUUUAUGAAAUCCCACUGUCAUGUCGGGCUGAUGACUGGGUUGUCUGGUACUGGAUAGCAGACGUUUUCAUCGCCACCAAAAGGACCACUUAAUUUUCACUUCUUGUUCCACUGCUAUGAGUGCAGCUGCUCACCUUCAUACUCCAAUACUAGCAUACUGGUAAAGCACAGAGGGGAUCACAGUUCGAAGUUUCUGGGGCCUGCCACAUUGCAAAGGGGGAAAUCACAUGUCAUUCUGUUAUCAGAUAUGCCGACAAAAACAAAAUGUCAUAUCUGGAUGGACAGGAUGGUCUUCCAGCAGUUUCUGGAAGCUUGGAUAUCUGUGCUUUCUUCUUGUUUUUUUUUUUUUUUUUUUUUUUUUUUUUUUUUUUUUUCUUUGGCAGCUUCCUGCUAUCGCUGGUUCGUUACUUAUAGGUUGUUGGGCUUCUCUGAUAACAGUGGCAUGCAUUUGUGUUGUGUAUCAAUUUUCAAUGUGGGUACAGUAAGCAUGCUGCUGAUAGAAAGCACUUUUCUCAUCCCUGCUUCAUCUUGUUCGUUUUGUUGCAUGCUGCACAAAAUGAAGUCUCCAGUAUGCCUACUUCACUACCCUUACAGUUUUUGUAGCAGUGCAUGAUUAAUAGUGACUGUGCAGUUAUUAUCGUUAACUAUUUCAAUGUCCUGAAGACAUUUGAAAUGUCUGUUCAAUUGGAACAGCUUCAUUUGGAUCAGCUUCACAACUUUACUUCAAUUGGAAUAGCUUUACAACUGUGCAGAAAAUCCAAAUAAGGCACAGUGGGAUAGUAUUUUAUCUCUCUUUAUGACUUAUGAAAUGUGCUACCAGCACAAAUUAGAACAGCACACUAGGAGUAGAUGCCUUGUGUCCCAUUCAAAAUAGCUCUGGUUAUAAAUAUUGCAAUGCUAGGAACAAAUUAGCCCACCGAACACCUUUAGUUACACUCGCUUGCGACAAACAUUAUUUUAGUUUGUGAAGCCGACCAAGUUUAACAUUUUGUUUUUAGUUUCACUGUUCCCAUGGAAAAUAAUAUAUUUGGCUCUAUAGUAUACUGUGUGACGACAACUCUGAAUGUAUUUGUUUAUAACAAUUUAAAAAUACCAUAUGGUAAGGGGGUGUUAUAAACACUAGUAAUUGCCUGUUGAAUGCUCAGCAUUUCAGCACAUGCACUUUUAUCGUCCGGAUUUGUUCCAGAUCUCGAUGAUAUAUAAUAAUUAGGCACUAAAUUUACCUGAAAUCAAUUUUUUUUUUUUUAAUAUUAGAGUCUAGCUUUAGUUGUAGCUGUCCAAAUUGCUGGAAGUUUCUGACAAGAACGCAGUGCUUAAGUUACUUUGUACAUUCUUGUCAAGGCCAAGGACUUAAAUUUAAUUCUGUUGCACAAGAGGUGCACUUCUGAGAUGACUAGAAUAUUGUGUUACACAAGUGCACCAUUUCCUAAAUGAAAUUUGUCGAAACGUAUUGUUGGACUAGUUGUUUUGUCAUGACUUGCAAACGGCGCUGUUUUGCAAGUCCUAAUUCAACAAAGGCCCACACUGCUGACAGCUUUAAAAUGCUAUCUGCCACAGGACAGCAGAAAAAAGAGAACUGCUCAAAAAGUAAAAAUAUAAUUGAUGAGCCAGCCUAAUUACUCGCAUUCAUUGCAGGCGAAAAAAAAAUUAUGGGUAUGCCAUACUUGUCCACGGAAAUUUUUGAAAAUUUAAGUAAUGACUCUGGAAUAGGUUUAAUGGGCUAUUUUCUUCCAAACUGGUUAGGUUAACUGUUCUAGCUGGCAGGAAUUGCACAUACUAUGAAGCAGAAAUGAAACGCUAACAUGAGCAAUUAACGCAGCUUUUCUUUUCGACUCUACAGUGUAUCAUCAAUUCAUAUCAUCAAUCAUCAAUUCAUAACGGUUUGCGAUUGUGCACUUGCAUAACCUUCUACGUGGAAACACAAACUAUGCCAGUUGCUUGCACGAGUGAAUGUAGAAGCUUGAAGGAGUGUGUGUUCUAAUUCAUGUAACUAUGUUAACCUGAAUUUCAGUACUCGUGUUUCCUAGUUUCUCAGACCCUCAAACUAUGGGAGGGUGCUCAGAACCAAAUUGGGCUUUACAACUAGUAGGCUGCUUUGAUUCAUAGGGUCACAGGAUGCUCAGUUUUAUGUUAGUGAGUAGAUAGUUGGAGAUAGUCAAAUUGGGCAGUCAUAUUCCUAAAACCUGGUUGGAAACAAACUUGUGUCAUUGCAGAGUGGGGUGUCUGUGCAUAAACUGUCUGAUGCACAAGCGUUGAAUUUUCUUUGCUGUUGUUAAUUGCAAAUUGCCAUGCUCAUAUUCUUUGUGCAGUGUCAUGUCAUCUUGUAAUGCUUUCUUUCUCUCCCUCUCUCGAGUCACUGUUCAGUUGUGUGAGUCACACAGUAAUAGUAGUCAUGUCGAGAUCUGUAGAAAUGUUAGUAACAUUCCUGUUUUUUUGGAAAUCCCCUUUCGAGAUUUUUGUCAUUGUUACAUCCAAAGAAGGAGCAGGCAGAUAUGCUUAAACUUGGAUAUCGGGCUUACAAAUUACACAGUAUAUUAUUUUAAUCUGACAAGCAUCCUCACACCUUUAGGGAGGCAUUAUUACCUGCCAUAUUCUCAUUUUGAACUGUAACCUUAUCUAAUACCUCAGUGAGGCUCACUUUUUUUUUUUUUUGGUAUAAUAGUGAACAUUGGAGUAAGCUAGAAAGAGUGUCGUCAUAUGUGGACUCUUCAUUCAUCAGCUUCUGUGUUUUUUGCCACCAUUUCACUAAAGCAUUUUGUCUGCUGAAAACAGAAAUCUGUGCAAUAUUUAUGCUUUGUCUAGUCUGUAAUGUGUGGUUGAAUAGCAUGUAACACGACUAUUGGCAGCGUGAUCGGUGCAUGUGAUUUUUCAUGUAUUGACUGCUUCAUCUGCUCUUUCGCUGCUUUCCUAUGUUAGCAGUCUUCAAAGGAGGUGCAGACGUGCAUUUCUGAGCUUCCUCGUGUGUCAUAUUUUCCUAGAAAGUAUAAUUGUAUUUCUGCAGGAUCACAACAUAGACCUGAGAAUGGUAAACCUCUCAUGUGUUUUUAAGAAUACUCAUAAAAGAGCUUUAGGAUCUCUGUUCUGCCACCAAAGGUUCUCUAGUCAACAUGGCUGUAGUUAUUUUGUAUCUUUAGUCUUAGUUUGUUUUGGUAAUGAAAGUACAUGAUAUGAUAUUUGCCAGCAUAGUAUUAUAUUACUGAAAUUUUUCCUUAGUAUAUUUAGGCAUACAUGGGCACGGCUGACACAUAUGCAAAAAAAAGUCUUCCCACUGCACACAUUUUUUUCAUUGACGUAGCAGAAAAUCUAUCUGUUUUUCAUAGCACCAUUUCAAUUGUUGUUGUUUGACAUGCCCAUGGUUUUAAUCUUGCUUGAGCAUAAUAGGCCCAUUACAUGUCACUUCUGAGUUGGUUACUGAAUGCCAGAACAAAAGUUUUGGCCCUCAAAAUGUGUGUUCUUUAAAGUUGCUUUAUCAUUGGUUUUGCAUUUUUUACAUUUUUGAUGCCUCUAAUUUCAACAAACUUUGCAUCAACACCCUUGGAAGUUCUAUAAAUGCAAUCUGCAGUGGCCAGCAGACCAGUGAUGAGUGUAUGCAGCACCGGCUUGCCAUAAUUCUUGACAAACUUAUAUGAAUCAAAAAUUUUUUUCAUAGCAUGUUAUUCAGUGUUUCCUGAAUUUCAGCAGGUGUUUUGUGUGUACAAAAAGGUGCAAGAUUUGCCAAAUAAAAUCGUUUGCAAAA